AUGAUAUGUAUUUUUGCGUCUGGGUGUUCAAAUAGUGUAUCAAUAGGUCACCUUGUUGCCUAAGCAGCCCAUGAUGCCACAUCCAACACAUGAGACACAUGGAUGUCUAAUGAAUGGACUAAGGUCACUUCUAACCCACACAGAUAUCAAAAUACCAACCAUUUGCUUGCUAAUGAUACAAUGAAAAUCUUGUGGGGCUGAUUUACACUGCUGAGCUGGAAUAUUUCCUUGACAAAUAUUCUUCAAAUCUUGCUCUAUAUUAUCAUCAUCAUCCCUUUCAAUAUCUUUGCAACAAUAGUGAUGUGUUCUCUUGUUCAAAGCAUUUCUAAUUAAAGAAUUCCAUUUUGUUGAAAUCUUACUAUCUUCUGAUCCCAAUACAUUUGAUGCAUUUAGUGGCACAAUUUCUU
rnacentral:lncRNA from 1 species